GAUGAGAUUGUUGCGCGUGUGGACGUACCAGCAGCGUUCACCGGCCGGUAAGGUUGACUGGUCGUCCGGCGGCAAUUCCGAGGAAGCCGAAUUCGUCGCCGUUUGGACCUCACCUCCCCUGCUGCCCGUAUUACAGCCUUCUUCUCCAACUCCGACCGCCUCGAUCUCCACCGCUGGUGAUCCACCAACGAAUCCCCCCUCCUUCUCUCUCAUCCUCUCUCUCUCUCUCUGGCUAAGCAAGCGACAUGCUCUCUCUUCUCACUGUUCUGAAUCUGAGUAGUAAUUAAAUGGUAGUAGACCAUGCUUUUGUCUUUUUGAGACAUUAUUCAUGCUGGAUUUGUCAUUUUCUUCUCUAUGUGGAUCUCGAAUUUGGAUUUCACCUUUUUAGGGGAUGUAGACAUAUGCCCUGUUAAUGUCCACAAAUCUUUUUUGAUUUUUUUUCCAAAACAUUCAAAGUUUAGUUUUUCAACGUUGGAGCAUGAGAGCAUGUGAGAUUUUGGAGCACCCGAUACUUUCCCGUAUGGUUGCAGCUGGGUUCCCAAUGCUAUAUCAUGCCAUCUUAAGCAGUUUUAACAUGCUCCCUCUUACCCCCUCUUUUCACAUUAGAGGUAAGAGUAUACAACAGAUCUGACCCGCUGCAACGACGAUCGAAAACAUAGCAAAACAAUCUAAAAAAUAAGAAACUUUGUAGUUUGGAUUAUGACCAAUUGUUUUAGGUGCUUGCAACAUUUGGUGAUCAAAUGACAUGUGAGGAGCUCUAAAAAAACAAUUUGUGCUCAAACAUAUGAACAGUAAACUUGGGUGUAGAGCAGAGUUUGUAUUUCGUUUUGUACCAAGCUCCUCGAAUGUCAAUUUUUCCAUCAAAUUUUGCAAGCAUAUAAAACGUUUGCUCAUAAUCAAUGCCACAAACUUUUAGAAUUAUUUAAUUCUGAUUUUACUGUUCAUUUUGUGGGUGCACCGAAAUUGGGUGCAGCCACUACUUUCACUUUCAGUAAUUUCAUCCUUGCACAAUCUUUGUUGUGUUUCUUACCUUCUUUUUUUGCACUAUCAUCAUUUCAGUAAUUUCAUCCUUGUACAAUUACCAUCAGUAGUGAAGUACACAUAUUUAACAACACACAACCAAGAUACAACAAAUGUUGUUGUUUGUCUUAACAUCUUCAGAGCUUUUUUCCAAAUAAGGGGAGGUGUUUUUUUCAAAUCGAACUGACAACCAAGCACCCAUAGCAUCCAUCAGAGCUUUCGGAAGGUGCAACCUUCACAGCACGGCGUCCUCUCUGCAAAGCUUCAACAACCGAGGCAGUGACGGGGGCAUCCUGCCUUGUUUUGCCAUUCUUUGUCUAUCUUAACUAAAGGAACAUCCUCUACUAUUUCUUGGAUGUUUUUUUUAUGUUCUGUUACUGUUUCAAAAGUCACAAGGAUUCUUCUAAUUUGUCAUUCUUUGUAGUUUGUUGUCCAUAUGUGGCUGUCAGACUAAUUACUUUUCCUUGGAUGCUUUUUUCUCUAUCCGUUCUGUUAUCGUUGAUAGUGGGACCCGAUCCUUUUCCAAGAUCCUAUGAAAGAAAAACAUGUGGCUCUCAAACUGAUUACUUACUUAGCAGUUUUAAUUAACAUGCUCUCUCUUACCCUCUCUUUUCACAUAAGAUAAGAGGUAAAAGUAUAUACCGUUGAUAUAAUUAAUUAGUGGUCAGAUUAACUCUAAUCUUUUUACCUGAGAUGUAAAAAAGGAGGUAAGAGGAAGCAUGUUAAAAUUUGCCUUACUUUUUCUUGGCUCAAGCUAGCUAUGAACAUGCAUGUCUCUUUAUCUCUCACUAGUUUUAUAUGUGCAUGCAACUGAGGUAGUAAUACGGAAUAAAACAAGUAAUGCGUUUCAGGUUGACGUACCCUUGACACACAAACACAACACACCUGGGCACUGAGAGAAUGAGUUUGCAGUACUGGAACCAUCCUGCGGCGGUGCAACUUAUUUUGCUCAAUGAACAAGCAGCAAUAGUCAACAACCUUACUGAAA
rnacentral:lncRNA from 1 species